AUUGAACGCUGGCGGCAUGCCUUACACAUGCAAGUCGAACGGCAGCAUGAUCUAGCUUGCUAGAUUGAUGGCGAGUGGCGAACGGGUGAGUAAUACAUCGGAACGUGCCCUGUAGUGGGGAUAACUAGUCGAAAGAUUAGCUAAUACCGCAUACGACCUGAGGGUGAAAGUGGGGGACCGCAAGGCCUCAUGCUAUAGGAGCGGCCGAUGUCUGAUUAGCUAGUUGGUGAGGUAAAGGCUCACCAAGGCGACGAUCAGUAGCUGGUCUGAGAGGACGAUCAGCCACACUGGGACUGAGACACGGCCCAGACUCCUACGGGAGGCAGCAGUGGGGAAUUUUGGACAAUGGGCGAAAGCCUGAUCCAGCAAUGCCGCGUGUGUGAAGAAGGCCUUCGGGUUGUAAAGCACUUUUGUCCGGAAAGAAAUGGCUCUGGUUAAUACCUGGGGUCGAUGACGGUACCGGAAGAAUAAGGACCGGCUAACUACGUG
rnacentral:rRNA from 1 species